GCCUCGCACCCUCCCGCGCGCACCGCCCCGCGCUCCCACUCCCGCACCGCCAGCGAGAGCGCGAAGGACCCACGGCCUCCCCAUGGCUGACCUGAGCUUCAUCGAAGAUUCCGUGGCCUUCCCGGAGAAGGAGGAGGACGAAGAGGAGGAGGAGGAGGGCGUGGAGUGGGGCUACGAAGAAGGUGUUGAAUGGGGGUUAGUGUUUCCUGAUGCUAAUGGGGAAUACCAGUCUCCCAUAAACCUGAAUUCGAGGGAAGCCAGAUAUGACCCCUCCCUGCUGGAUGUCCGCCUCUCGCCCAAUUAUGUGGUCUGCCGGGACUGUGAAGUCACCAAUGAUGGACACACCAUUCAGGUUAUCCUGAAGUCAAAAUCAGUUCUGUCGGGAGGUCCAUUGCCUCAAGGGCACGAAUUCGAACUGUAUGAGGUCCGAUUUCAUUGGGGAAGAGAAAACCAGCGUGGUUCUGAGCACACCGUUAAUUUCAAAGCUUUUCCCAUGGAGCUGCAUCUGAUCCACUGGAACUCCACCCUGUUCGGCAGUAUUGAUGAGGCUGUGGGGAAGCCACAUGGAAUCGCCAUCAUUGCUUUGUUUGUUCAGAUAGGAAAAGAGCAUGUGGGCCUAAAGGCUGUGACCGAAAUACUCCAGGAUAUUCAGUAUAAGGGGAAGUCCAAAAUAAUACCCUGCUUUAAUCCUAACACUUUAUUACCAGAUCCUCUGCUCCGUGACUAUUGGGUGUACGAAGGCUCGCUCACAAUUCCACCUUGCAGUGAGGGUGUCACCUGGAUAUUAUUCCGAUACCCUUUAACCAUAUCCCAGCUACAGAUUGAAGAAUUCCGAAGGCUGAGGACACAUGUGAAGGGGGCGGAGCUCGUGGAAGGCUGUGAUGGGAUUUUGGGAGACAAUUUUAGACCCACGCAGCCACUUAGUGACAGAGUCAUCAGAGCUGCAUUUCAGUAGCCGGAGGGAACGGGAACAAGCCAGGCUUCCUCCGAGAUAAAGAAACUGAGACUCAGAGGGGUUGAGUAACUUGCUCAAGGUCACAGCCAUUAAAGUGCAAAGCAAGGAUGCAAACCCAGGAGGAAGACAAUGGUGGUAUAGUGCCCUAGGAUGAGAAUGGAAACGUCUGAGCUGCAGCUUUGAUUUUUCCUGAAAGCCUGCAUUGUUUGUCUUCAUCUAAUCCAGCUUUGAUGGACAUCUCUGGCAGUUGCCUGUACACAUGCUCUAAUGAAAUAUUAGGAAUGGCUGUACAUUGAAAGAGGCCCCAUAUUAUAUAUCACUGCUGGUAGUAUUCAUAUUUUUUACACACACUGUUUAUUGCUUAUAUGUAGAAGAAAUGAAGCUAGUUUUCAGAGUUGUUAUUAAUAUGAAUAUAUAUCAUGUAUUAAUGUCGAGACAGGAAAAAUACAUUUCCAGCAUUAGCAGUCCUUCAUUUCCUGUCUCCAACAGAAAAUCCACUCCUUCGGAGAAUAAUGUAAGUCUUGAUAAUAAAAUAAGAGUUUUGAUUAAAAACAGAAUACAGCUUCAAAGUGGAAUGUAGAGGAUUAGUAAAAAUCAUAUCUCAUGUUAUUUUCUAGCCCUCACGCCACAGAUGAUGUCAGGCUGGGUUGUUAUUAUGGAAAACAGUUUGGAAAUGAAUGCAAAAACACAAUACUCACUUUAUAUAUUUCUGUCUUAGUAGAAGGAUUUAUUUGAAGAAAAGAAUCUAAUCAUAUUUAUUUGACAUAUUAGAAGCUGUGGUUUCUAAGACAAAAAGAAAGUAGGUACCUUGAAUAGCUCCUUUUCCAUGAUAGAAACAUAAAUUUAAUAGUACCCCACCAUAAUUUUGUGUUGUGCAUUUUGUAAGACUUCAAGAUAUUUUAUUCUGUGAAUUUCAUGUCUUCGGUAUAUUGAAACAUUUCUGUCAAAGGUGGCCAACAGUACAUUUUAAUUAAUUUUAAGUGUUACUGGCAAAUCUUAGCAUAUGUUUAUAUAUAUAUAUAAGUAUGUGUGACAGAAUGAGAUAACUUAUGUAAAACAGUAGAGUGCGUGUUGCAAAGCAAGUCCUUAAUAAAUGUUUAUUGUUAUAAUCACUGUUGUAAAACUAGUAACUUCAAAAAC